rnacentral:rRNA from 1 species
UUGAACGCUGGCGGCAGGCCUAACACAUGCCAGUCGAGCGGAUGAAGGGGGCUUGCUCCUGGAUUCAGCGGCGGACGGGUGAGUAAUGCCUAGGAAUCUGCCUGGUAGUGGGGGAUAACGUCCGGAAACGGGCGCUAAUACCGCAUACGUCCUGAGGGAGAAAGUGGGGGAUCUUCGGACCUCACGCUAUCAGAUGAGCCUAGGUCGGAUUAGCUAGUUGGUGGGGUAAAGGCCUACCAAGGCGACGAUCCGUAACUGGUCUGAGAGGAUGAUCAGUCACACUGGAACUGAGACACGGUCCAGACUCCUACGGGAGGCAGCAGUGGGGAAUAUUGGACAAUGGGCGAAAGCCUGAUCCAGCCAUGCCGCGUGUGUGAAGAAGGUCUUCGGAUUGUAAAGCACUUUAAGUUGGGAGGAAGGGCAGUAAGUUAAUACCUUGCUGUUUUGACGUUACCAACAGAAUAAGCACCGGCUAACUUCGUG